UGGGAGCGGCAGACGGGUGAGUAAUACGUUGGAACCUGCCCCAAAGUCAGGGAUAACCAGUAGAAAUAUUGGCUAAUACCGGAUAGUCACGAAAGUGUAGAGCUUUUGCGCUUUGGGAGGGGCCUGCGGUCUAUCAGCUUGUUGGUAAGGUAAUGGCUUACCAAGGCUAUGACGGAUAGCUGGUUUGAGAGAAUGAUCAGCCACAAUGGAACUGAGACACGGUCCAUACUCCUACGGGAGGCAGCAGUGAGGAAUCUUCCGCAAUGGGCGAAAGCCUGACGGAGCAACACCGCGUGAAGGAUGACGGUCGUAAGAUUGUAAACUUCUUUUCUGAGGGAAGAAUUCUGACGGUACCUCAGGAAUAAGCAUCGGCUAACUACGUGCCAGCAGCCGCGGUAAGACGUAGGAUGCAAGCGUUAUCCGGAAUUAUUGGGCAUAAAGAGUUCGUAGGCGGUUUGUUAAGUUGGAUGUUAAAUUUUUGAGCUCAACUUAAAAAAAGUAUCCAAAAUUGGCAAACUGGAGACUGGUAGAGGUAAGUGGAAUUCUGCAUGUAGGGGUAAUAUCCGUAGAU
rnacentral:rRNA from 1 species